CAAGUCGAGCGAGAACCAUUCCUUCGGGAAUGGGGACAGCGGCGAACGGGUGAGUAACACGUGGGUAAUCUGCCCUCGAUUCUGGGAUAGCCCGGGGAAACCCGGAUUAAUACCGGAUAGCCUCUCGAGCUUUCGAGCUCGUGAGAAAAGGUAGCUUCGGCCUCCGAUCGAGGAUGAGCCCGCGGCGGAUUAGCUUGUUGGUGGGGUAAUGGCCUACCAAGGCGACGAUCCGUAGCUGGUCUGAGAGGACGAUCAGCCACACUGGGACUGAGACACGGCCCAGACUCCUACGGGAGGCAGCAGUGGGGAAUCUUGCGCAAUGGGCGAAAGCCUGACGCAGCGACGCCGCGUGGGGGAAGAAGGCCUUCGGGUUGUAAACCUCUUUCAGCAGGGACGAAGCCACUCGGGUUAAUAGCCCAGAGGGUGACGGUACCUGCAGAAGAAGCCCCGGCUAACUACGUGCCAGCAGCCGCGGUAAUACGUAGGGGGCAAGCGUUGUCCGGAUUUAUUGGGCGUAAAGAGCGUGUAGGCGGCCAGACAGGUCCGUUGUGAAAACUAGAGGCUUAACCUCUAGACGUCGAUGGAAACCGUCUGGCUAGAGUCCGGAAGAGGAGAAUGGAAUUCCUGGUGUAGCGGUGAAAUGCGCAGAUAUCAGGAAGAACACCCGUGGCUAAGGCGGUUCUCUAGUACGGUACUGACGCUGAGACGCGAAAGCGUGGGGAGCGAACAGGAUUAGAUACCCUGGUAGUCCACGCCGUAAACGAUGGGUGCUAGGUGUGGGGGGGUGUCGACUCCCUCCGUGCCGAAGCUAACGCAUUAAGCACCCCGCCCUGGGGAGUACGGCCGCAAGGCUAAA
rnacentral:rRNA from 1 species